UGAGCAACCUGCCCCGAAGACCGGGAUAACACCGGGGAAACCGGUGCUAAUACCGGAUGCCCUCAUCAUGUCGCAUGGCGAGAUGAGGAGAUGGAUUCCGCUUCGGGAUGGGCUCGCGGCUUAUCAGCUUGUUGGUGAGGUAAUGGCUCACCAAGGCUACGACGAGUAGCUGGUCUGAGAGGAUGUCCAGCCACACUGGGACUGAGACACGGCAGA
rnacentral:rRNA from 1 species